AUGUGGAGGAUGGGUGCAGGGCUGGGGCCAUCGUCCAGGCAAGAGGGGACAGGGUCUGGGUCAGGAGAACCUGGCAAUGUAAGGGGUGAUGAUGGAGAGAAAAAAUCAAGGGAACCCCCAAGUUUGGGGUGUGGAGGGAAGAACUUUGUGACAUCCAGGUGGCAAUGGAGCUGUGGACCUGGAACCUAGGAGACACUGAUGUCACUGUUGUCCCCCAGAAGAGAGGCAUGAAAAAGACUGGGACAAGUGGCCAGAGUUGGGGGAAGACAACCAGGAGGGGGCGGGCACGAGGAGAGAGGCCUUAGGAGGGGGCCCACGCAAGCAGGGGCAGGUGGAGGAAGAGGCCUGGGGGGUUGACAGGAGGCAGAUGAGUUGUCUGGAAGCCACCACCUCUCAAGGAAGGCGAUGCCAGCAGCCCACAGAGCCCACCCAGGCGGACCCGAAGUGGCUGUCACCAAGAGAAGUGCCCAAGGCUUGCGUCUGGAACAUGUGAGUUCGAGAAGCCUGGAGAUCACCCAAGGGAACUCACCUGGGGACAGCUGGGCCCAGGAGCCUGGGGUGGAGACCUCGUGUCACAGGCCAGUGUAUGAGCAUCAGAGUGACGUCAGCCAGGCAGUGGGCUAGAAGGUCCCAACACUCAUCCCUUCCCCAAAACAACAAAACAAUGAAUAAACAACAUGCUCAGAGAAAUGGGACAGCGGUGUGCUGAGGACCACCAGCUCCUGCUCCUACAAGUCUUCAGGCAACGUGAGAAGUGACAAGCACUGACCCGAACUAUGAGGGCACAAAAGACGCUUCAGAGACCAAGCAAGGGCCUUCACUGUGGUUCCCUUGAGGUCCUUGAAGUUCUGGCUGGGUUGAGCAUGCAUCAGAGACGCCACCUGCCAGCAGCCCCAGCCCAAGAGCCCCCAGAUGGACCUCCUUGCCCUGCCUGUGUACACGUGGGGGUUUGUGCUGAGCUCCGAGGGAAUGUCUGCCAUUCACUGUAGCACAAGCUUGACCACAGCCAGCCAGGGAGCAGGGCCAGGAGCAGACCCAUCCUCAGAUGCCAGGGAGCUGGCCUUAGCACCAGCCAUCUGCGACACCUCCCUCUGGCAGCCCUGCAGCUUCUGCUUGGUUCCCUCUAGUGACAGGACCCUCACCUCUUCAGGAAGCCAGUCUCAAGCUGCUUGCCCUGUGAUUCGGGUAAUGACUCAGGGGAAUUCAGCGCUGCCGCAGACACAGCCAGGCAGCCAGUGGAGCUGCUGGCACCCCAGCCCUCCCUGCCGCACCUUAUUCUGCGCUCAUAUCCUCCUGCUGGAUCUCAACCUCUCCUCCACUGCAGGCAGGAGGCCAGGCUCAUGCACCGCUGGCCUGGGAGCCCCAGAAAGGCCAGGUGCACACCUCGGACGGCUGCCUCCCCUCCCCUCCCCAUGCAAUCUUCCGCACUCACGCUCGUUCAGGCUCUAGGCUUCUGAACUCAGCCAGCCCGAGCCCCAUCCUACUUUGCCACUACACUAUCGUGCCACCACCAGGGAGCCACGGCCUCAGUUUCCCGGGCUGUAACAUGGGGACAAUCUCCUCAGACUUCCAGAACUGCUGUAAGGAUAAAAUGAGGUCCUUGGUGCCAAUGGGUGUGACCUGUGGUACAAAGGAGAAAGCUAACGGGACCUGGUGACAACACCCGCUCCCUACUUGCUCCCAGCCCCUCCCUCAACAUCCUGGCUCCACCCCUUCCAGGCACUGAGGCUCAAAUGCUAUUACUAGUAGCCAGAAUCUGACAUAUGAGAAUAAGAGGAGACACUGCAGGGGGCCCCUUGGCUGGGGUGCCAGUGCAGAUUCUGCGGAGCAACCGUCCCCCUAGCCCAGGCCCAGCCUAGUUCAGGGCCCCCAACCCCACUCCGGCGCUCCAAGCUCCGAAGUCCCCACUCAGUAGCACCAUUGGGGACCGGGAAGCGCAGGGCGCGUCGUGCAGGACGGGCGGAGAGGGCAGAAGCUUGCAGGUGGGAGGAAGGCGGGCGGGGGCGUGGGAGGUGGAGGGAGACGCCGGGAAGGCCGCGGCCCCUCCCCGCUCCCUCCCUGCGCGCCGCCAGCUACAUUGCCCCUCCUGGGC
ensembl:lncRNA